ACACGUAGGGGCCUGACGUUGUUCGGAAUCAUUGGGCGGAAAGGGCGCGCAGGCGGCCGUCCAAGUCCGGUGUUAAAUGGUCGGGCUCAACCCGAACAUGCGCUGGAAACUGGGCGGCUGGAGUCCCGGAGGGGAUGCCGGAAUUCCAGGGGUAUGUGGGAAAUCUGUAGAUAUCUGGAAGAACAACGAUGGCGAAGGCAGGCAUCUGGCCGGAGACUGACGCUGAGGCGCGAAGGCGCGGGGAGCGAACAGGUUUAGAUACCCUGGUAGUCCGCGCAGUAAACGAUGCGCACCAGGUGUCGGGCGGCAGCGCCCGGUACCGGAGCAAACGCGAUGAGUGCGCCGCCUGGGGAGUAUGCCCGCAAGGGUGAAACUCAAAUGAAUUGACGGGG
rnacentral:rRNA from 1 species